UGCCAUGCAACUCCGAUUCCUACCUUCACGUGGCACCGGCCGGGGUACGAGCAACCUUAGGGAAGAUCGGGUAACCAACCCCGGUGGGAAAUUUGGUCGUAUGCUGACAGGGACGG
rnacentral:ribozyme from 1 species